GUGAGUACCCGGGGACCCACCUGUCCGGCAGCACCCUCCCCUCUCAAGAGCUGGGCGGUGGUGGGAGGAGGAGGACGGGAAAACCGGCGAUGCCUCUGGGGUUUCUAGGUCGCGCGUCUGUUAACCGCAAACCGCCCAAAGUUAAGAUAGAGCAGCUUCCAGGACUUUCUUGACCACAGCGAUUUUGAUUGAAGUUUAGCCACCGUCUUUUCCAUUUUUAGAAAAGCUAUUCCGAAGUUUGGAAUGAUGACGAUGGUCGUGUUAUUUUUAACUUCCUGAUAUUUGAACGGCGAGGUGUCAGCGACCAUCCUUCCGUUCCACAGAAGCGUCUCUGAAGUUUGGGUCGAAUGCGCGCGCUUGGAAUGUGCGUGGAACCCGCGGCAGGCGCGGGGAGGAGGCCUUGGCUAGGGCGCCGGCGAGGUUCGAGUUUGCCAGCCCCCCAACCUGGAAGAGAAGGGCCAGCCCCUCACACCCGGAAGGGAAGGGCCGGUCCCCCCAACACCUGGCGCCGGGGUCGCGGGGCCACAGGGCGAGCGCGGGGUCGCGGCGAGCACGGGUCCUCUCUGAUCGCUGGGCCUUGGCGCUGGCUGCUGAGUUUUUCCUUCUUUAAGGAAGUGUGGAACUGGUCUCAAUCGGUUGACCACCUUAAGGAAAUAGGAUUUACACUGUGGACAGAGAUGUGUCCUUUACACUUCAUUUGAACCAAUAUGCCCAUGCUCCUGUGGAGGCUGAGUUGGAAAGUGACACGAAGCUGCCCCCCCGCAAGAGAGCAGUGAAUAACCCUAUACCUUCCAAUUUGAAAUCAGAAGCAAAAAAGGCUGCCAAAAUAUUAAGAGAAUUCACAGAAAUAACUUCCAGAAAUGGACCUGAUAAGAUCAUUCCUGCUCACGUAAUUGCGAAGGCUAAAGGCCUUGCAAUUCUGUCUGUGAUCAAAGCCGGGUUCCUGGUGACUGCCAGAGGAGGCAGCGGGAUUGUAGUGGCGCGCCUUCCAGAUGGAAAAUGGUCUGCACCCUCAGCCAUUGGGAUAGCUGGCCUUGGUGGAGGAUUUGAAAUAGGAAUUGAGGUAUCAGACUUGGUGAUAAUUCUGAAUUAUGACCGUGCUGUAGAAGCUUUUGCAAAAGGCGGAAAUCUGACCCUCGGAGGGAACUUGACUGUGGCGGUUGGGCCCUUGGGAAGGAACUUGGAAGGAAACGUGGCCCUGAGAAGCUCCGCUGCCGUCUUCACGUACUGCAAGUCAAGGGGACUCUUUGCAGGCGUGUCUUUAGAAGGGAGCUGUUUGAUUGAAAGGAAAGAAACUAAUAGAAAAUUUUAUUGUCAAGAUAUCCGAGCUUAUGACAUUUUAUUUGGAGAUACACCGCGGCCUGCUCAAGCCGAAGAUCUUUAUGAAAUUCUUGAUUCCUUUACUGAAAAGUAUGAAAAUGAAGGACAACGAAUCAAUGCAAGAAAAGCAGCAAGGGAGCAGAGGAAGUCUUCUGUACCGUUUGGUUUUAUGUUUCACUCAGUAUUCUCAGAAAAUCUCUUUCUGUAGAACAUUCUGUCCCUGAUAUCAGGUUCCUAAGAACCUACUAAGCCUCCUUCGUAGUUUCACUGACUUCACAUUCUUGUGAAAAGGUCAUGCUACCUUGACAUUUCCUCUGUACAGAUUUCAGGGAAAAACAUAAUUUGUCCUCUGUGAUUGCAUUUCUCCAAGGAUGGAACUUUGUUGUAUCAAUAAUACAAAUAAUAUGUGGGAGGCUGAGGCAGGUGGAGCACUUGAGAUCAGGAGUUUCAGACCAGCCUGGCCAACAUGGCAAAACCCCCUCUCUACCAUAAAAAUAGAAACAUUAGCUGGGCAUGGUGGCGUGUGCCCAUAAUCUCAGCUACUCAGGAGGCUGAAACAGGAGGAUCGCUUGAGCCCAUGAGGUUGCACUGAGCCAAGAUCAUGCCAUUGCACUCAGCCUAGGCAACAGAGUAAGACCUUAUCUCAAUAAUAAUAUAUGAAUAAUAGUUGCAGAUACUGACGCCUUUGUAUGUCAGGCCUUGGGGCACCGAGGGAUUUGUGUGCAUUGUUCAUGAUGUUCCACAGCACCUUUCAGAGUUGGUAUGAUGCCUGUUUCAUGGAAUAAAAACUGAAGCCUAG
rnacentral:lncRNA from 1 species